rnacentral:rRNA from 1 species
UACGUAGGGUGCAAGCGUUAAUCGGAAUUACUGGGCGUAAAGCGUGCGCAGGCGGUUGUGUAAGACAGGCGUGAAAUCCCCGGGCUUAACCUGGGAAUUGCGCUUGUGACUGCACAGCUUGAGUGCGGAAGAGGGGGAUGGAAUUCCGCGUGUAGCAGUGAAAUGCGUAGAUAUGCGGAGGAACACCAAUGGCGAAGGCAAUCCCCUGGGCCUGCACUGACGCUCAUGCACGAAAGCGUGGGGAGCAAACAGG